GAAAUUUCAUAAACUUGAUACAGAGUAUCUUGAAAAACAAAUACAAAACAAAACUAUCAUUUAUUGAGUCAAAUGCCGGGUGUUUAAUUACUCAUAAAGAACAUUACAACCUUGACAGAAAUGUCAAUUUAUCAAAAGACACAAUCGAUGAUGACACAAAUAAAAAUGAAAGCAUUCUCAUUAUUUUUUGAUGGAGAAUGUAUACAACACUGAAUGGACGUAUCUCUCUCCCGGAUUCACAAUUGAGGAUGGAAAAUUAGGGUGAUUCACAGCGUCUGGAAAUACUAGAGUUUCCAAAGCCAAUGCUGCAUGAGACGGAUACAUAAAUCCACCUUUCCCUUUUUUACUUUUAUCCCAAUUGGAAGUGUAGAAUUGAACACCAGGUGCAGAUGCUUUUACACUCAUCACUCUUCCGGACUUCUUAUCAUAAACUCUCCCCACGGGUUUCAUUUUUGCACUGCUGUCGAGUGCAUAGUUGAUGUCAUAUCCAUUUUGGAGUUUUUUGAUCCUGCUUCCUACUGUAUGGGGUUUCAGGAAAUCAUAGGGUGUGUUCUUGACGGGGGCAAUUUCCCCUGUCGGAAUGAGUUCUUUAUCAACUAGUGUGAUGUGUGAUCCAAAGAUUUGAAUAACAUUGGACAAGAUAUUGCCACUGGUGUGUCCACCAAUGUUCCAGUAAGGGUGGUGAGACAGGUUAAUUGGAGUGGCCUUGUUCAGAGCUUUCGCCUUAAAUACAACACUAAGUUUGUAAGGAUCUUUCAAUGCAAAGGUAACAGAGGCAAGAACAGCACCAGGAAAUCCU
rnacentral:misc_RNA from 1 species